AGUAGGUGGGGUGACAGAAUGGGAUUUACGGACACAGAACUGUCCUUUGGGGAGCAGAAUGGUAUUGGGGACAGGUAGGCACGUAGCGGGGGGCAAAAGCACACGUGAGGUGCGUAAUGCGCGACAGCCAAGAGGUGUGUGCGGCAGCAGUGCACGAGGGGAGGAAGCUAUCCCAGGCCGCGGCAGCACAUGGAACUUGGGUCCCGCAGUCGCAGGCUGCGCUCUAGGCCGACGGAAGCAGUUCCGCCUGUAUUCAGAAAACAGUUCUCAGCCCCAAAGAUACAGGUUGGAAAGAACACUUUAAAAACACUUCGGCGAGGCACGGGAUUGGAGCGCAUCAGAUCAGCAGGCGAGAGACCACCGCUCUCGCCCGCGCGCCGCGCGGCGUCCGAGGCGCAGCUUUGUGCGCGGUGAGACCCUGGGGCAGGCGCUGGACGGGGUGGGGACAUCUGACGUCAGCGCGCCCGGGAGCGCGGGCCGGGGAGGCGGGGAGCCCCCCCACUCGCAGGCCGGAGAAAACACGAGUAGCUAGGUGGGCGGCCCCAAACCUCAACUCCCGGCAUUGCCAAGCAACAGCCAUUCAGUUCGGUUGCUGGGACACGCGUCACCAUGGCGACGGCUCCGCGCCGCGCAGUCUGAGUACUUAAAGAGCAAGCGCGCGCAACGCCCGGGCGACGGAAAGCGGCCUUCCGGGACUCCGCAAACUCCCGUUCUCCCUCCCCCCUCCCCCUUACCAUUCCCUUUGCCUUCCGGGCGCCAAGUCUCUCUGGCCUCCAAGGUGAACCCAACUCCCCAGCGCGCCCCGGGUUCCCGGGUCGGGCCGGCUUCAGGCGGUGGGGAGCGGGAUCCCGGGCCCCGGGCGGGCGGGAGGGACGGGACGCGGUGCAGUGUUGUUUUUUCCCCCGCCAAUAUUGCACUCGUCCCGGCCUCCGGCCCCCCCGGCCCCCCGGCCUCCCCGCUACCCCUAGCGGGGCAGCCCCCGCCCUCCUGGCUCUCCAUCCCGGCGGAUCUUUGAUAGACUGGAGUGUCGCCGCUGCCACCGUGAACAGGAAAAUGGGUCAUGGAGGAGGAGUGACUUCACCAACAUCACUCAUAGGUGCUUGUGUCCCUGGUGAGAAGGGUGAUGGAGAGAAGUGGCUGCAGUCCCCACCCAUGGAGAGGUCACUGGUGAAUCCCAGCUAAAGAGGAAGGACAGGCCCGGCCUGAGUCCCACAGGUGGGCUCAGCCCCUCUCCUUACCGAAUGUAGCCAACUUGAGGCCGGUGCAGAAGCUGCCAGCGAUAGGAGGUCUUGUCCCGCCAGCCCACAUUUCGUGGGUCUGUCCACAGCAGUCGUACCUGAUCGGGGGUGUGGCCAGUAUGCCACAGGGCAUUUCGGAGGUGCUCACCUGGGCCAGACACUGAUGUCACUGCCUAGGAGACAUUGGCAAAGACAGUGGGUCAACUGCAGAACUGGAGUGAGGGGAGACAACAGGUCGGUAAGUGCAGGUGGGAAAGGGAGUCAAGGCGGUCAUGAAAAUGCCCUGGGGCCCCAGAGAGCCGGCCUCCAAGCCAGAUGUCUGGGUAAGAGGGUUCCCAGUCAAGCAGUGGGGGAGGCCCUGGGGCUGCAGAGGAGAGCUUUGGGAAAGGGCCCUGGGUUGGGGAAUCUGAGCAGCUGGGGACCUUGAGCUGCAGCCCGGGCUGGGCAACCGCCCGGAAGGGUGUAGCCUGCCAGUAGGUCUGCUCGGUCUGCUUCCACAUGACUACGUAGAAGCGGCCACUGUCUUGAUAACUGAAGAGAAAGCCUGCGUAGUCAUCAUCAGUCACUGUGUUCACAUGGAAGGUGCCUUCAAAGUCCACACCAUUGAAGGCCGUGUAUCCUGGGGUGGGGGUGGGAUAAAGGUCAGGGGCAGCAAAGCUACUGGCAGCCCAUCAUGGGGUGAAGUUGGGAAGGGAUGCCUGCUAUGUAUGUGGCCAGCUUGUGCCACUGCCUUCUCUCUCGCCACUUUGCCCAUUCUCCCUGUCUGUUUCCUCCCCUACCCUCUGCCCCUAUAGGAUUCCUCCAUUUGGAAGUGAUUGAACUGCAUAUCCCUUACAUACCAACUGCCAAGCCAGGGUCACUGUUCAUGGUCUGAACGAUUUCCAUGCCCUGGGGUUGUAUAGUAAAGAAAAAGCUGUGAUGCAGGUGUGCUAUCGCUCCCAGGCCCCCCGCCCCAGUAGCCCUGUCUGAUAGCACCUGCCCAGCCCACUGCCCCGAGUUACCUGGUUGAGCACAACCCAGUUUGGGUCAAUCUGAGCAUCACCCUCAGGAUCCAGGACGACGGUCUGAUAGGCCCGAAAAUCCGUAAGCGUUACCUCUGCACUUUCAGGACACACAUCCAGGGGGUCGACCACAGCAUCAUUGUCAAAGUCAUCCUCACACACAUCACCAACACCAUUGCCUGGGCAGAGUGAGGCUGGGUGCUCAGGAAGGCCCCGGCCACUGCCAUUAGGCAACAAUACCAUCUGUUGGGCCUGCAUUCCUGACAUCUUUCCCCACCUUGCCCUUCCUCACUUCCCAACAGGGCUUGCUGCCUCCACCGGGGCAAAGGCAACACCAGUCUAACGUGCUCUGGGUCCCCAGGCUUACCAUCUGAGUCCUUCUGAUUGGGAUUGGGUACCAGGCGGCAGUUAUCAGGACCAGGAGGCACAUAAUCUGGGAUGCCAUCAUUGUCAUCAUCCCCAUCACACUCAUCUCCAAGUCCAUCGUUAUCAGAGUCCAGCUGGGAGCUAUUUGGCAGCUGUGGGCAGUUGUCCUUGGUGUCCUGAUGCCCAUCCCCAUCGCUAAUCAGAAGAACAGGUUGGUGAAAGUCCCGAACUUUGUCUCCCCACCCAGAGGACAACUGGCCAGGAAAUCUGCCUGUUUCUUGUCUCACCCUCUAGUCCACACUCUGCCUAACGCUACGCCCUACCUCACAUUCCUAUUGACAUCUGCUGCAGAUCACACCCUUGUGAUGGACAAACUGCUCAGUACAGUCCCACCCACCCAGCCUCCUUGUCCUGGGCACGAGGUUUUUGCCUCCCUGAUUUGGAGUAUUGGGCCCUUACUAGAGAGCUGCCAGAUGAGGGUGGAUAACAGCCUCAGUUUUCAGAUGAGGAAGCUGAGGCUCAGAAAAGUUAAAUAACCUGCCAAAGAGCUAGCAAGAGGCAAACCAGUAUUCCAAACCAAGUCCAUGUGAACACCUAAUCUGUGUAGCGCCCUGGGGAGGAGGAAAGGCAGCAGGAAAUUUGAAGGGACAUCUCCUUCACCUGGAGAAGGAUGGGGAGGAGUCAGCACUUGACAUCUGCACCCUACCCCAGAAUCAGUGCCACCCUUCGCCAGCCCACCCAAACCUGGUCUCGUAUAUCAUCCCGCAGCUCCACCAGGAUCUGGUUGAAGAGGGUGAGAGCUUCUGAACAUCCCUGUCAGAGAGACCAGGCAGAUGGGCAACGCUCAGAGAAAUUGCUGGUGACAGCUGCCAGUGAGAACUAUAAAAGACUCGAGACCAGGCCGGGCGCGGUGGCUUACGCCUGUAAUCCCAGCACUUUGAGAGGCCGAGGUGGGUGCAUCACUUGAGAUUAGGUGUUUGAGACCAGCCUGGCCAACGUGGUGAAACCCCAUCUCUACUAAAAAUGCAAAAAUUAGCCAGGCAUGGUGGAGGGCGCCUGUAAUCCCAGCUACUUGGGAGGCUGAGGCAGGAGAAUCACUUGAACCCAGGAGGUGGAGACUGCAGUGACCCAGAUUGCACCACUGCACGCCGGCCUGGGCAACAGGACAAGACUCCAUCACCAAAAAAAAAAAAUACUCGAGACCAGUAUCUCUUGGUCAGCCAAGGCCAAGCAAUUAACCAAUUAUCUUAGAUCGCUUUUUUUCUGGGAUGGGUGUAUUGGAGAUUGUGGAGUCAGGUGAAAGAUUUGGAAUAACAGGGUUAGAAACCCUAGGAACAGGUGAGCCAAAGGAAUGGGUUUUAAGGGAGAGGGAGAUCAAGAAGACAGGAGUCACCAAAGGCCACAGGAUCCGUGGUCCAAUGUCAGCAAACAAGUCUCUGUGUUACCUGCAC